AGGACGAACGCUGGCGGCGUGCUUAACACAUGCAAGUCGAGCGGAAAGGCCCUUCGGGGUACUCGAGCGGCGAACGGGUGAGUAACACGUGGGCAACCUGCCCCUAGCUCUGGGAUAACUCCGGGAAACCGGUGCUAAUACCGGAUAUGACCUCAAUUGGCAUCCUUUGAGGUGGAAAGAUUUAUUGGCUAGGGAUGGGCCCGCGGCCUAUCAGCUUGUUGGUGGGGUAAUGGCCUACCAAGGCGACGACGGGUAGCCGGCCUGAGAGGGCGACCGGCCACACUGGGACUGAGACACGGCCCAGACUCCUACGGGAGGCAGCAGUGGGGAAUAUUGCGCAAUGGGCGAAAGCCUGACGCAGCGACGCCGCGUGAGGGAUGACGGCCUUCGGGUUGUAAACCUCUUUCAGCAGGGACGAAGCGAAAGUGACGGUACCUGCAGAGAAGCGCCGGCAACUACGUGCCAGCAGCCGC
rnacentral:rRNA from 1 species